UAUAUGAAACACUAAGGUCAAAGUCUAAGCCAUGCAAGUCCGAGUUCACUCGAGAGAACCAACUAUCAAUAACUCCAUAAUGCAUACUUCAUGUAUGUUGGGUCGUGUUUAAUGUGGGAGAAGGACAGUCGCCGUAAAUCCGGGGACUAAUCCACAACACUGAGAUGGCACUUGCAUCUCCUAAGCCCUUGGGUAAGGCUUCCAACUACAGAGUAUGUCCUAUCAGCUAGUAAGCGGGGUAACGGCCCACUUAGGCGAUGACGGGUAACGGGCGGUAUAUGUCGAACUGCCGGAGAAGGCGCCUAAGAGACUGCGACUAUGUCUACGGACAGCAGCAGGCGCGGAACUUACACUCUCGAGGAACUCGGACGUGGUUAUUGACCUGUGAACCCAACUCAAGAGUGGUUCACGACCCGUAAGCCUAGCCAGCUAGGGUCAAAGUAGAGGGAAAGUCUGGUGCCAGCAGCCGCGGUAAUACCAGCUCUACUAGUGUAUCCUUAUCUGUUGCAGUUACUAACUCGAAGCCAUGGUUGAAUGCGUGCUAGGUUCGCCUAGACACUGUGAGUAAACCAACAUGCUUAGAAUCAUUCCCCAACCAGGAUGUUCUUCGCAAUAUGGAAAGAAGAAGGGCUUCGGCCUGGAGUAAUCCAUGACCAUCACAGAGGUAAUCCAUAUAGCAGGGCGAGCGGUGAAAUGUGUUGACCCUUGUUAGAUGACCAACGGCGAAAGCAGGUUGCCAGGUGAUAGGUGUCGGUCUAGAGUGUUGGCGGUGCGAGAGAACCAGAUUAGAGACCUGGGUAUCCACCGGCCGUAAAGGAGAGCAACUCACCAAAGGCGCAAGCCUGCGGUAGUUGUGAAAGCGUAUGUUCUUGGUUUCUGGGGGAACUACGUCUGCAAGGUUGAAACUUAAAGGAAUUGACGGAAUCGCACACAAGGAGUGGAGCCUGUGGCUCAAUUUGAAUCAACACGAGGAAACUCACCCGCACAUGGGGUGUGAAUAUGACUAUAACUUUUACUAGGAGAUGGAAUUAGGCCGUUGGUGGUGCAUGGCCGUUGGUAGUGUGUGUGAUGAUUUGCGAAGUCAAUUCUGGUAACAAUCGAGACCAUGGCCCUGCCCAGAAGAGGGGAUUCCUAUGGCAACAUAGGUGAAAGCAUGGCAAUAACAGGUCCGUGAUGUCCUUUAGAUGUGUGGGGCCGCACGCGUGCGACAAUGCCCCCGAAUAGAUGUAGAAGUAGCUGAAGAAGUAUACGAGAACCUGGUCCUGGAUGCAUAGUGGUGAUAGGCUGCUGGAAUGGCAGACCUGAACAAGGAAUUCCUAGUAAAAGUUAGUCAAUACCGUGCUUUGAAUAUGUCCCUGCGAUUUGUACACACCGCCCGUCGCUCCUUCUGAUGACCCCAAAGCCGAGCUCCCCCGAGAUAGCAUCAAAGGGAGGCAAGGCUGCGGGAUUAGAAGAAGGAGAAGUCGUAACAAGGUAUCA
rnacentral:rRNA from 1 species